AUGGACACAUGAGGUGGGGAAUAACACACACUGGGGCCUGUAGGAAGGGGGACAUGAGGGGAGGGAAAGUAUUAGGGAGAAUAGCAGAUGGGUGCUGGGCUUAAUUCGUAGGUGAUGGAAUUAUCUAUUCAGCAAACCACCACGGUACAUGUUUACCUAUGUAACAAACCUGCACAUCCCUAAACCCUAAAUGAAAUAUAUUUUCUCUCUGGAAGCUUAGAAAAUUUCUUGGCGUCUUUGCACAAUUUUUUUUCUUCAGGGAAACUUUCUGGACCUUGACAGUUUUCAAACAGAAAUUUCAAGUCUUUCUUUAUAUCAAAGAGCUUUUCUUGUUUGUUUGUUUGUUUUAAUUAUUGUUGCUCCUCAAUCUGCUUCUUUUUUCCUCCUGGAAAAUUUUUUUAUUUGCAAUUUAAGUGUCUUGGAACUAUCGUCUGUCUCUUAUAUUUUUCACUCAAAUGUUUGCUCCUUUGUAUUUUUGCUCUAUGCUGUGAGAUAAUCAUGUAAGAAUUCUAACUGCAUGUCCUUUAAAUCAUCUUACUUUUUUGCAUGUAACUUCAGGGCAGAAGCUUUAAGAGCCAGUGCAUAUGUCAAAUUUUCUCUCUGUCAGAGCAACCACCAUUGUUCCAGUAAGUGGCUUUUCUAUCACCCUGAAUCUGUAGUAAGGAUGCUAAUGCCAUGGAGAAGAGCCCUCCAGGCAACCCUUGGUGAACAGUGAACAUGGACCUUGAGUGAGAAUUAAUCUUAUUUUAAGCUAUUUAGUUUUUGGGCUCAUUUGUUAUUACAGCAAAGUCUAGUAUAUCCUGACUGAAUUAGUCUGCUUAGUCUUCCUCUCAGAGCUGAAAUUUUGCUUUUCUUCUCACUGUUGAGUGCUCCCACAGUAACUUGCAGAGAUUAAGCUGUUGGAUUUUCUCACGCAGAGGGAACCCAUGAGUCAAUAGAAGGCGUAUAUCUUAUGUUGUUAGGCCAGCUGUGAAUGAGCUGGUUCUUCUCCUGGGAUGUGGGAAUGGUUCCUUUCUAACAUCAA
rnacentral:lncRNA from 1 species